rnacentral:rRNA from 1 species
UUGUAGCSUGCUAUGGUAUAACUUAGUGGCAGACGGGUGAGUAAUGUAUAGGAAUCUACCUAGUAGUACGGAAUAAUUGUUGGAAACGGCAACUAAUACCGUAUACGCCCUACGGGGGAAAAAUUUAUUGCUAUUAGAUGAGCCUAUAUUAGAUUAGCUAGUUGGUGGAGUAAUAGCCUACCAAGGCAAUGAUCUAUAGCUGAUCUGAGAGGAUAAUCAGCCACACUGGAACUGAGAUACGGUCCAGACUCCUACGGGAGGCAGCAGUGGGGAAUAUUGGACAAUGGGCGAAAGCCUGAUCCAGCCAUGCCGCAUGAGUGAAGAAGGCCUUUGGGUUGUAAAGCUCUUUUAGUGAGGAAGAUAAUGACGGUACUCACAGAAGAAGUCCUGGCUAACUCCGUGCCAGCAGCCGCGGUAAUACGGAGAGGGCUAGCGUUAUUCGGAAUUAUUGGGCGUAAAGGGCGCGUAGGCGGAUUAGUAAGUUAAAAGUGAAAUCCCAAGGCUCAACCUUGGAAUUGCUUUUAAAACUGCUAAUCUAGAGAUUGAAAGAGGAUAGAGGAAUUCCUAGUGUAGAGGUGAAAUUCGUAAAUAUUAGGAGGAACACCAGUGGCGAAGGCGUCUAUCUGGUUCAAAUCUGACGCUGAAGCGCGAAGGCGUGGGGAGCAAACAGGAUUAGAUACCCUGGUAGUCCACGCUGUAAACGAUGAAUGUUAAAUAUGGGAAGUUUUACUUUCUGUAUUACAGCUAACGCGUUAAACAUUCCGCCUGGGGACUACGGUCGCAAGAUUAAAACUCAAAGGAAUUGACGGGGACCCGCACAAGCGGUGGAGCAUGUGGUUUAAUUCGAUGCAACGCGAAAAACCUUACCACUCCUUGACAUGAAAAUCAUACCUAUUC